UUAGUUUUCCGCCAAAAUCAAACGCGGCAAACCUUUUGCUUUUUAAUAACUUUUCUCGAAUUUUUAGCGCACUCUCUCGUAACCACCGAUCUGGCUAGGGUUUUUCUUAUCAGCAAUUCUUGAACGAGCUCCUUCUCUGCUUCAUCCUCUUCGCUGCAUCGUAUUACUGCUAAUCGGAGAAGAACCGCCUAUCAUGAUGAUGGAUGUGCAUGUUUCUAAUAAUGAUGGAAUUGUUGAUGUAAUCUCAAACCCACCACCAGUGCUGCAUUUGUGAAAGUUAUUGGAGAAACGUCAAGUUAUUGCCGUGGUCAAGGAUCGAGAUUUAAGUCAACAAGUAGGAGAUCCAUGAAUGGAAUAUAAGAGAAACUGCAAGCACAACAAAAAGAGGUAGAAGAAGAGCGUCGUAAACGAGAUAGUGUAGAAUGCCAGCUAAAGGAUGUAAAAAUUCAGCUUGAGGGGGAGCGGAAAAAUCGAGAAGCCAUGAUGCGUGACCAAAAACUAUUGAAAGAGAGCAUGAUGGCACUAACAUCACAUAUACUAAGUAAUGGGGAAUUCGAUCUAUCUUAAUAACUGCUGGCAGCAGUUGUUAUGCAGUGCUGAUACAAUUGACAUAAUGGAGUUUCUGCUGCAAUUCUCAACAUUAUUUCUAGUUUAAGUGGUUCAGAUGACGCAAGUUGUUCAAGACUUAUGGAUGACAUCACGGAUGAGCAUGAGUAAACCAACAUAGCUGGCAAUAUGGUUCAUCGAUGUACAAGUUACUGGAAGAAAAUUUGCUUUUGGGAUUGUUAUUAGAUUAGAAAUUAUGACUCUAGAGAUGUUCUUGUUCUUUUUUGUAAGUAUACACAUUAUGUUUUAGUGGUAGUUAGUUUUGAAAGUAUGUAAAUAAAUACUUAGUGCUUCAGUUG